UACGAAGGGGGCUAGCGUUGUUCGGAUUCAUUGGGCGUAAAGGGUGCGUAGGUGGCGCUGUAAGUCGGGUGUGAAAUUUCGGAGCUUAACUCCGAAACUGCAUUCGAUACUGCGGUGCUUGAGGACUGGAGAGGAGACUGGAAUUCAUGGUGUAGCAGUGAAAUGCGUAGAGAUCAUGAGGAAGACCAGUGGCGAAGGCGGGUCUCUGGACAGUUCCUGACGCUGAGGCACGAAGGCGUGGGGAGCAAACAGG
rnacentral:rRNA from 1 species